rnacentral:rRNA from 1 species
UACGUAGGGUGCAAGCGUUGUCCGGAAUUAUUGGGCGUAAAGAGCUCGUAGGCGGUUUGUCGCGUCUGCUGUGAAAACUCGGGGCUUAACUCCGGGCCUGCAGUGGGUACGGGCAGACUAGAGUGCGGUAGGGGAGACUGGAAUUCCUGGUGUAGCGGUGAAAUGCGCAGAUAUCAGGAGGAACACCGGUGGCGAAAGCGACUUCCUGGACCAAUACUGACGCUCAUGUGCGAAAGCGUGGGGAGCAAACAGG